UGCAGCCGAGCGGUAGAGUCUCUUCGGAGACUUGAGAGCGGCGUACGGGUGCGGAACACGUGUGCAACCUGCCUUUAUCAGGGGGAUAGCCUUUCGAAAGGAAGAUUAAUACCCCAUAAUAUUCUGGAUGGCAUCAUUUAGAAUUGAAAACUACGGUGGAUAGAGAUGGGCACGCGCAAGAUUAGAUAGUUGGUAGGGUAACGGCCUACCAAGUCUACGAUCUUUAGGGGGCCUGAGAGGGUGAUCCCCCACACUGGUACUGAGACACGGACCAGACUCCUACGGGAGGCAGCAGUGAGGAAUAUUGGACAAUGGGUGAAAGCCUGAUCCAGCCAUCCCGCGUGAAGGAUGACGGCCCUAUGGGUUGUAAACUUCUUUUGUAUAGGGAUAAACCUAGAUACGUGUAUCUAGCUGAAGGUACUAUACGAAUAAGCACCGGCUAACUCCGUGCCAGCAGCCGCGGUAAUACGGAGGGUGCAAGCGUUAUCCGGAUUUAUUGGGUUUAAAGGGUCCGUAGGCGGAUCUGUAAGUCAGUGGUGAAAUCUCACAGCUUAACUGUGAAACUGCCAUUGAUACUGCAGGUCUUGAGUAUAUUUUGAAGUAGCUGGAAUAAGUAGUUGUAGCCGGUGAAAUUGCAUAAGAUUAUUACUUUAGAACACCAAUUGGCGAAAGGCAGGGUUACUAAAACUAAUAACUU
rnacentral:rRNA from 1 species